rnacentral:tRNA from 1 species
GCAAGAGUGGCGAAACUGGUAGACGCACUGGAUUUAGGUUCCAGUUCCCUUAACCGGGAGUGGGGGUUCGAGUCCCUUCUCUUGCACCA